rnacentral:rRNA from 1 species
CCUACGGGUGGCAGCAGUGGGGAAUAUUGGACAAUGGGGGGAACCCUGAUCCAGCCAUGCCGCGUGUGUGAAGAAGGCCCUCGGGUUGUAAAGCACUUUCAGUGAGGAAGAACGCCUGUGGUUUAUACCCAUCAGGAAAGACAUCACUCACAGAAGAAGCACCGGCUAACUCCGUGCCAGCAGCCGCGGUAAUACGGAGGGUGCGAGCGUUAAUCGGAAUUACUGGGCGUAAAGCGCGCGUAGGUGGCUUGAUAAGCCGGUUGUGAAAGCCCCGGGCUCAACCUGGGAACGGCAUCCGGAACUGUCAAGCUAGAGUGCAGGAGAGGAAGGUAGAAUUCCCGGUGUAGCGGUGAAAUGCGUAGAGAUCGGGAGGAAUACCAGUGGCGAAGGCGGCCUUCUGGACUGACACUGACACUGAGGUGCGAAAGCGUGGGUAGCAAACAGGAUUAGAUACCCCUGUAGUC